rnacentral:rRNA from 1 species
UACGUAGGGGGCAAGCGUUGUCCGGAAUCAUUGGGCGUAAAGAGCGUGUAGGCGGUCCGGUCAGUCGGUUGUGAAAGUCAAGGGCUCAACCCUUGAAUGCCGGCCGAUACUGCCGGGCUAGAGUUCGGAAGAGGCAAGUGGAAUUCCUGGUGUAGCGGUGGAAUGCGCAGAUAUCAGGAGGAACACCUAUAGCGAAGGCAGCUUGCUGGGACGACACUGACGCUAAGGCGCGAAAGCCAGGGGAGCAAACGGG